UGUAAUAUUGAAUUCGCCCAAGUGUUUACCUUGCUGUCGCCUUCUGUCGUAAAUCAUGACAAUCAACACAUUCCAGACUUCCUGUGUUCAUUCACAUUCCUAAAAUUUCCUUCACAACACCACUGCCAUCGAAAUGUUAUAUUAGGAACAUUUUCUGUUUACAUUUUAUCCUAAUUAGACCCAAUUUCCAUCACAGCGGUGCAGACAGUUCAGUCGCUGACCGAGUGGGCUUGGUCCGCUGUGGGGGUGUCAAGGGAGAAAGUGCAGGACUUGCUGACACGCCCUGACUUAACGGAUGACUGGUCACUGGAGGAGAUCAGCCAACCUGUCUUCCGCUCCUUGGGAUUCUGGAUGCUGGUUUGCCAGUGACCCAAUCCUGACCCAAUGUCUUUCGUUGUUGGAGCCCUCCCUGCAUUCAUACCGGUAACUCAAGGGAUGAGUCUACUGUGUGUUCAGUUUA